AGGCUGGCGACCGAAGCCCCGAUAAACGGCGGCCGUAACUAUGACGGUCCUAAGGUAGCGAAGUUCCUUGUCGGGUAAGUUCCGACCUGCACGAAUGGCGUAACGAUGGCCACACUGUCUCCUCCAGAGACUCAGCGAAGUUGAAAUGUUUGUGAUGAUGCAAUCUCCCCGCGGAAAGACGGAAAGACCCCAUGAACCUUUACUGUAGCUUUACAUUGGACUUUGAACGGAUCUGUGUAGGAUAGGUGGGAGGCUUUGAAGCGGUGCCGCUAGGUGUCGUGGAGCCAACGUUGAAAUACCACCCUGGUGCGUUUGAGGUUCUAACCUUGGCCCGUAACCCGGGUUGGGGACAGUGUAUGGUGGGCAGUUUGACUGGGGCGGUCUCCUCCCAAAGCGUAACGGAGGAGUUCGAAGGUACGCUAGGCACGGUCGGAAAUCGUGCUGAUAGUGCAUAGGCAUAAGCGUGCUUGACUGCGAGACUGACAAGUCGAGCAGGUACGAAAGUAGGACUAAGUGAUCCGGUGGUUCUGUAUGGAAGGGCCAUCGCUCAACGGAUAAAAGGUACUCUGGGGAUAACAGGCUGAUACCGCCCAAGAGUUCAUAUCGACGGCGGUGUUUGGCACCUCGAUGUCGGCUCAUCUCAUCCUGGGGCUGUAGCCGGUCCCAAGGGUAUGGCUGUUCGCCAUUUAAAGAGGUACGUGAGCUGGGUUUAAAACGUCGUGAGACAGUUUGGUCCCUAUCUGCCGUGGGCGCUGGAAAUUUGAAGGGGGCUGCUCCUAGUACGAGAGGACCGGAGUGGACGCACCUCUGGUGUAUCGGUUGUCACGCCAGUGGCAUCGCCGAGUAGCUAUGUGCGGAAGAGAUAACCGCUGAAAGCAUCUAAGCGGGAAGCCUGUUUUAAGAUGAGGUUUCAUUUGAGGUCCCCCAAAGACGAUGGGGUUGAUAGGCCAGACCUGGAC
rnacentral:rRNA from 1 species